rnacentral:misc_RNA from 1 species
GCUAGCUGAGGUUGAAGAAGUAAAGAAAAAUGAUGAGAAGGAAGAAACUGCGGAAGAGAAAUAAAAAGCAGAACAAGAACCUGACAAGGAAAAAUCAAGAGAAUCCUCCUCAUCUCAUACUAAAAGCAACAGCAGCAGUGACAAUGGAAAAAGUGAAGGCAGAAAUGGUUCAAGACAAGAAGAGGAGAAGGAAGAUGCUGACAAAAAGAAAGA